GAAGGCUAAAUGGAGACUUCAAGAGAUAAAUUCCCAGAAGCAGAAUCAGUGGGUCUCAGGAUUCCAUAGAAUGUUCUCUGUUUCUUCAUCUAUGAUGUGGGGAUAAUGUGAGUAUACCUACAUCAGAGGGCUGCGAUGAAGACUAAAAAAG